rnacentral:rRNA from 1 species
AUGUUUGCAAUUGAACUUUAUUAUGUUUAUAGUACAAGGCAAGUAUUAAUAAUAUUGCCUCGGAGUUGUGACUUUGCAAGUUGCCAAAUUUUGUUGUAUGUGACAUUAUUUUUUGUUAUGUUGGUUUGCUUAUGUAUAUUAUUCUUUUGUUGUUUUGUAAUCAAUCAUCUACUACAUCUAAACUCGGCUUUGUUUUUCUUCACAAAUAUUGCACACUGCCUUGGUCACUUCGUCAUUGUAAAACUAGACUCCACUCAAGUGUUCUACAAUAUAGAAAUAUUUAUGAUGCGGCCUCAAAGCGGCCACAAAACUGGACCACCAUACAAUAUAUCAAAACUAUAUCUAUAUAUUAUUUAUCAUAGGUGGAGGUCCCUGUAUAGUCUCUUAUUUCCCCGUUAG